GCAACCUUGCCAAGGUUGAUGUCGCGGGUUCGAGUCCCGUUUCCCGCU
rnacentral:tRNA from 1 species